rnacentral:rRNA from 1 species
AAGUAGGUGUAACGGAAGUUGCGCCUGU